rnacentral:rRNA from 1 species
UGAGGAAAAGGAACCAACAGGGAUUGCCCCCAGUAGCGGCGAGUGAAGCGGCAAGAGCUCAGAUUUGAAAUCGUGCCAAUUUUUUUGGCACGAGUUGUAGAGUGUAGGCGGGAGUCUUUGUGGAGCACGGUGUCCAAGUCCCUUGGAACAGGGCGCCUGAGAGGGUGAGAGCCCCGUGGGGUGUCGUGCGAAGCUUUGAGGCCCUGCUGACGAGUCGAGUUGUUUGGGAAUGCAGCUCCAAGUGGGUGGUAAAUUCCAUCUAAGGCUAAAUACUGGCGAGAGACCGAUAGCGAACAAGUACUGUGAAGGAAAGAUGAAAAGCACUUUGAAAAGAGAGUGAAACAGCACGUGAAAUUGUUGAAAGGGAAGGGUAUUGGGCCCGACAUGGGGAGUGCGCACCGCUGUCUCUUGUAGGCGGCGCUCUGGGCGCUCUCUGGGCCAGCAUCGGUUCUUGCUGCGGGAGAAUGGGUGCCGGAAAGUGGCUCUUCGGAGUGUUAUAGCCGGCGCCAGAUACCGCGUGCGGGGACCGAGGACUGCGGCUUCUGUCUCGGAUGCUGGCACAACGGCGCAAUACCGCCCG